AGAGUUUGAUCCUGGCUCAGGACGAACGCUGGCGGCACGCUUAACACAUGCAAGUCGAACGAGAGAAGAGGAGCUUGCUUUUCUGAUCUAGUGGCGGACGGGUGAGUAACACGUGAGCAAUCUGCCUUUCAGAGGGGGAUACCGAUUGGAAACGAUCGUUAAUACCGCAUAACAUAAUUGAACCGCAUGAUUUGAUUAUCAAAGAUUUAUCGCUGAAAGAUGAGCUCGCGUCUGAUUAGCUAGUUGGUAAGGUAACGGCUUACCAAGGCGACGAUCAGUAGCCGGACUGAGAGGUUGAUCGGCCACAUUGGGACUGAGACACGGCCCAGACUCCUACGGGAGGCAGCAGUGGGGAAUAUUGCACAAUGGAGGAAACUCUGAUGCAGCGAUGCCGCGUGAGGGAAGAAGGUUUUAGGAUUGUAAACCUCUGUCUUCAGGGACGAAAAAAGACGGUACCUGAGGAGGAAGCUCCGGCUAACUACGUGCCAGCAGCCGCGGUAAUACGUAGGGAGCGAGCGUUGUCCGGAAUUACUGGGUGUAAAGGGAGCGUAGGCGGGAUCGCAAGUCAGAUGUGAAAACUAUGGGCUUAACCCAUAAACUGCAUUUGAAACUGUGGUUCUUGAGUGAAGUAGAGGUAAGCGGAAUUCCUAGUGUAGCGGUGAAAUGCGUAGAUAUUAGGAGGAACAUCAGUGGCGAAGGCGGCUUACUGGGCUUUAACUGACGCUGAGGCUCGAAAGCGUGGGGAGCAAACAGGAUUAGAUACCCUGGUAGUCCACGCCGUAAACGAUGAUUACUAGGUGUGGGGGGACUGACCCCAUCCGUGCCGCAGCAAACGCAAUAAGUAAUCCACCUGGGGAGUACGACCGCAAGGUUGAAACUCAAAGGAAUUGACGGGGGCCCGCACAAGCAGUGGAGUAUGUGGAUUAAUUCGGAGCAACGCGAAGAACCUUACCAGGUCUUGACAUCGUAUGCAUAGCUCAGAGAUGAGUGAAAUCUCUUCGGAGACAUAUAGACAGGUGGUGCAUGGUUGUCGUCAGCUCGUGUCGUGAGAUGUUGGGUUAAGUCCCGCAACGAGCGCAACCCUUACUGUUAGUUGCUACGCAAGAGCACUCUAGCAGGACUGCCGUUGACAAAACGGAGGAAGGUGGGGAUGACGUCAAAUCAUCAUGCCCCUUAUGACCUGGGCCUCACACGUACUACAAUGGCUGUCAACAGAGGGAAGCAAAGCCGCGAGGUGGAGCGAACCCCUAAAAGCAGUCUUAGUUCGGAUUGUAGGCUGCAACCCGCCUACAUGAAGUCGGAAUUGCUAGUAAUCGCAGAUCAGCAUGCUGCGGUGAAUACGUUCCCGGGCCUUGUACACACCGCCCGUCACGCCAUGGGAGUCGGUAACACCCGAAGCCUGUAGUCUAACCGCAAGGAGGACGCAGUCGAAGGUGGGAUUGAUGACUGGGGUGAAGUCGUAACAAGGUA
rnacentral:rRNA from 1 species